rnacentral:rRNA from 1 species
CCUACGGGAGGCAGCAGUGAGGAAUAUUGGUCAAUGGACGAGAGUCUGAACCAGCCAAGUAGCGUGAAGGAUGACUGCCCUAUGGGUUGUAAACUUCUUCUAUAUGGGAAUAAAACGUUCCAUGUGUGGGAUUUUGUAUGUACCUUAUGAAUAAGGAUCGGCUAACUCAGUGCCAGCAGCCGCGGUAAUACGGAGGAUCCGAGCGUUAUCCGGAUUUAUUGGGUUUAAAGGGUGCGUAGGCGGCCUGUGAAGUCAGCGGUGAAAGUCUGUGGCUCAACCAUAGAAUUGCCGUUGAAACUGGCGGGCUUGAGUAUGUUUGAGGCAGGCGGAAUUCGUAGUGUAGCGGUGAAAUGCUUAGAUAUCACGAAGAACUCCUGUUGCGAAGGCAGCUUACUAAACUGCCACUGACAUUGAUGCUCGAAAGUGUGGGUAUCAAACAGGAUUAGAUACCCGGGUAGUC